GUGAGGAAUAUUGCGCAAUGGAGGCAACUCUGACGCGGCCAUGCCGCGUGCAGGAAGAAGGCGCUACGCGUUGUAAACUGCUUUUAACCGGGAAGAAACCCCAGGACGUGUCCUGGGUUGACGGUACCGGAGGAAUAAGCACCGGCUAACUUCGUGCCAGCAGCCGCGGUAAUACGAAGGGUGCAAGCGUUAUCCGGAUUCAUUGGGUUUAAAGGGUGCGUAGGCGGAGCGUUAAGUCAGUGGUGAAAUCCUGCAGCUUAACUGUAGACUUGCCAUUGAUACUGGCGCUCUUGAGUGCGCUUGAAGUGGGCGGAAUGUGCCGUGUAGCGGUGAAAUGCUUAGAUAUGGCACAGAACACCAAUUGCGAAGGCAGCUCACUAAGGCGAUACUGACGCUGAGGCACGAAAGCGUGGGGAUCGAACAGGAUUAGAAACCCGAGUAGUCC
rnacentral:rRNA from 1 species